rnacentral:rRNA from 1 species
GGGGGAUAUUGCACAAUGGAGGAAACUCUGAUGCAGCGACGCCGCGUGAGGGAAGAAGGUCUUCGGAUUGUAAACCUCUGUCUUUGGGGACGAAGAAAGUGACGGUACCCAAAGAGGAAGCCACGGCUAACUACGUGCCAGCAGCCGCGGUAAUACGUAGGUGGCGAGCGUUGUCCGGAAUUACUGGGUGUAAAGGGUGCGUAGGCGGAUUGGCAAGUUGGAUGUGAAAUCUCCGUGCUUAACGCGGAGGUUGCAUUCAAAACUGUUGAUCUUGAGUGAGGCAGAGGCAGGCGGAAUUCCCGGUGUAGCGGUGAAAUGCGUAGAGAUCGGGAGGAACACCAGUGGCGAAGGCGGCCUGCUGGGCCUUAACUGACGCUGAGGCACGAAAGCAUGGGUAGCAAAC